rnacentral:rRNA from 1 species
UGGGGAAUAUUGCACAAUGGGGGAAAGACCCUGAUGCAGCGACGCCGCGUGAAGGAAGAAGUAUCUCGGUAUGUAAACUUCUAUCAGCAGGGAAGAAAAUGACGGUACCUGACUAAGAAGCCCCGGCUAACUACGUGCCAGCAGCCGCGGUAAUACGUAGGGGCGAAGCGUUAUCCGGAUUUACUGGGUGUAAAGGGAGCGUAGACGGAGCAGCAAGUCUGAUGUGAAAGGCGGGGGCGUCAACCCCAGGCCAGCACGUGCAUUGGAAAACUGUUGAUCUUGAGUACCGGAGAGGUAAGCGGAAUUCCUAGUGUAGCGGUGAAAUGCGUAGAUAUUAGGAGGAACACCAGUGGCGAAGGCGGCUUACUGGACGGUAACUGACGUUGAGGCUCGAAAGCGUGGGGAGCAAACAGGAUUAGAUACC